UACGUAGGUGGCAAGCGUUGUCCGGAAUUAUUGGGCGUAAAGCGCGCGCAGGUGGUUCUUUAAGUCUGAUGUGAAAGCCCCCGGCUCAACCGGGGAGGGUCAUUGGAAACUGGGGAACUUGAGUGCAGAAGAGGAUAGUGGAAUUCCAAAGUGUAGCGGUGAAAUGCGUAGAGAUUUGGAGGAACACCAGUGGCGAAGGCGACUGUCUGGUCUGUAACUGACACUGAGGCGCGAAAAGCGUGGGGAGCAAACGG
rnacentral:rRNA from 1 species